rnacentral:rRNA from 1 species
UACGAAGGGGGCUAGCGUUGUUCGGAUUUACUGGGCGUAAAGCGCACGUAGGCGGAUCUUUUAAGUCAGAGGUGAAAUCCCAAGGCUCAACCUUGGAACUGCCUUUGAUACUGGGGAUCUUGAGUCCGGGAGAGGUGAGUGGAACUGCGAGUGUAGAGGUGAAAUUCGUAGAUAUUCGCAAGAACACCAGUGGCGAAGGCGGCUCACUGGCCCGGUACUGACUGACGCUGAGGCACGAAAGCGUGGGGGAGCAAACAGGAUUAGAAC